CUAAUACAUGCAAGUCGAGCGCAGGAAGCAGACUGAUCUCCUUCGGGAGUGACGUUUGUGGAAUGAGCGGCGGACGGGUGAGUAACACGUGGGCAACCUGCCUGUAAGACCGGGAUAACUUGCGGAAACGUGAGCUAAUACCGGAUAAAGCUCCAUGCCGCAUGGCAUGGGGAUGAAAGACGGCUUAGCUGUCGCUUGCAGAUGGGCCCGCGGCGCAUUAGCUAGUUGGUGGGGUAAUGGCCUACCAAGGCGACGAUGCGUAGCCGACCUGAGAGGGUGACCGGCCACACUGGGACUGAGACACGGCCCAGACUCCUACGGGAGGCAGCAGUAGGGAAUCUUCCGCAAUGGACGCAAGUCUGACGGAGCAACGCCGCGUGAGCGAUGAAGGUCUUCGGAUCGUAAAGCUCUGUUGUCAGGGAAGAACACGUGUGAGAGUAACUGCUCACACCUUGACGGUACCUGACCAGAAAGCCACGGCUAACUACGUGCCAGCAGCCGCGGUAAUACGUAGGUGGCAAGCGUUGUCCGGAAUUAUUGGGCGUAAAGGGCUCGCAGGCGGUCCCUUAAGUCUGAUGUGAAAUCUUGCGGCUUAACCGCAAGCGGUCAUUGGAAACUGGGGGACUUGAGUACAGAAGAGGAGAGUGGAAUUCCACGUGUAGCGGUGAAAUGCGUAGAGAUGUGGAGGAACACCAGUGGCGAAGGCGG
rnacentral:rRNA from 1 species